rnacentral:lncRNA from 1 species
GAAAAUUUGACAUGAGUAUGGAUGAGAUUAGGCCACCCCUUUUGCAUAUUCUUUUUGUGUGUGGUAUGUUUCAUGAGCAUAGUCUACUAUACUAUGUCUCUAACAUGCAUUAACACCAAAAUUUUAUUGCCCUGCCUCAAAUAGUUGUGACUUCUACAUAAGUCCAAUUAGGAUUACUUAACAUAGCGCUAAAUUUGUGACAUAAAAAGGCA